rnacentral:rRNA from 1 species
AUGGAGCAGCCAAAGUGGGUUACCAAGCAGAUUGACAAACUGCGGCAUGCUUUCCUUUGGGCAGGAGCUGAUGCUAUCACUAGUGGUAGGUGCUUGGUGUGAUGGUCGCAGGUCUGCUCACAGGUGCAGUUUGGUGGGCUCGGUAUCCGUGAUCUUCAGAAACAAGGUAUUGCUCUAAAAGUGAGGUGGUUGUGGCUCAAUCAUAGAGAAACUGGCAAGCCAUGGCAUGAUCUUCCGAUCCCUGUUGACAAGGAAGUCAAGGCUCUGUUUAUUGCUAGUACUUGUUUCAUCUAG